rnacentral:rRNA from 1 species
ACACGUAGGGGCCUGACGUUGUUCGGAAUCAUUGGGCGUAAAGGGCGCGCAGGCGGCCGUCCAAGUCCGGUGUUAAAUGGUCGGGCUCAACCCGAUCAUGCGCUGGAAACUGGGCGGCUUGAGUCCCGUAGGGGAUGCCGGAAUUCCAGGUGUAGGGGUGAAAUCUGUAGUUAUCUGGAAGAACACCGAUGGCGAAGGCAGGCACCUGGCCGGAGACUGACGCUGAGGCGCGAAGGCGCGGGGAGCGAACAGGUUUAGAUACCCUGGUAGUCCGCGCAGUAAACGAUGCGCACCAGGUGUCGGGCGGCAGCGCCCGGUACCGGAGCUAACGCGAUGAGUGCGCCGCCUGGGGAGUAUGCCCGCAAGGGUGAAACUCAAAUGAAUUGGCGGGG